UAUAAAACUUUCUCCAAUUGAGCUGGAAUUUGUCGCGCGGUUUUAUUUUAAUAUAGGUAGGCCGCCUGUCGAAUUCCGUCGCGAUCGGAGGCCGUCUGGUACCCGAACGGUCGACCGUAGCGGCACCGUAUUCCGGCUACCGUCGGACGUUUGUCGGUGUUUUAAAAAUUCGUGCCGCGCCGCCCGUUCUCCCUCUCGUCUCCGCAUAUUCCCUCUACACGGCCGCGUACCCAUACCCGCGUUCGGAAUCGUCCGAAUCCGACCCCGCGGUUGGAUCCGGAGCGAUAUUCCGGUUAACCGAGCCCCCCAGUUGUCUAUAUAUAGAGACCCUCUAAUUUUCAGACAACCUCCCUCUAAUCU
rnacentral:lncRNA from 1 species